rnacentral:rRNA from 1 species
UACAGAGGGUGCAAGCGUUGUUCGGAAUUAUUGGGCGUAAAGGGCGCGUAGGCGGUGCGGUAAGUCACCUGUGAAAUCUCCUGGCUCAACUGGGAGCUUGCAGGCGAAACUGCCGUGCUGGAGUGUGGGAGAGGUGCGUGGAAUUCCUGGUGUAGCGGUGAAAUGCGUAGAUAUCAGGAGGAACACCGGUGGCGAAGGCGGCAUCCUGGACCGGCAUUGACGCUGAGUGAGCGAAAGCCAGGGGAGCAAACGGG